GCAACACGUGUCUUACCACGCCGAGCUCCCUGAUUUCCCACCCGUGUAUCCAGCCUGCCUCUCAGUGUUUCUUGUGAGUUCUUUUGUUACUUUCCAGAGAAUUUUUCCCUUGAGCAAAGGUGAUUUUGUGUUAGCAUUUUUUUUCCUCUAGUUGAGAAGAUUUUUUGUUUUUCUAUUUCUGUUGCACUUUGUCUUUUACAUCCUGAGUUGUUACUUGCCCCAUGUGGCACUAUUAUUUGAACUUUUGUUUUUCACCAGCGAUUUGCCUUGCUGCAGUGACUUUUUUUCUAACUCUGGUUUUGUUUUUCGUGGCAGUCCGAGCUGACCGUGCCUUUUCCCAGAAACUGAGAUUUUCUGUUGUUCACUUUGUUUUGUUGUUUAUUGUCAAAUUUGGGCAUUUGCCUCUGCAUUUGUUGAUCCUGGCCUUUGUUCGAUUCCUAACAUACCCUUUACUUUAUAUUAUUGUUUGGAAGGAAACUUUGUUGUAAUAGAUAAAAGUGUGUUAUUUUUCAUCCAACAUUUGACUUUUAUUACAAUCAUACUUGUAUAGUUCCUAACUGCAAACAAAUUUUCUUCUAGAUUCCAUCAAGCACUGCUACAGCCUCAUCUGAGAAUGUCUCAAUGGCCUCUCCAGCAAGCCCCCCUAUUCCUGGACCUCCAACGGCCACUUUCACUCCCCAGGUCCCUCUUCCAUUUCCCAAGAGGUUUAUCCAAACCACCUCUCCAUUCUCUCUCCCACCUUCUGCUUCUGCCUCUGUGAAGACCACUAAGCCCAUCAUGAACAGCCCUCCACAAUCUACUGACCCUGCAAGUGUUUUUAUUCAAGCUUUAAUAUUUCAAUUGUCUUGUCUUGGCUUGUAAAUUUGUUGUGAAACAUUAUUGUCUAUAUUUCUCUGCCUUCAUCAGGAUGGAUCUACUUCAGUGGCCCCAGUGUUUUCAGUGCCUUUAGCUGCUGCACCUGGAUCCAGUCCACUGUGGUUGCCUGAAAGACUAAAGAAGACCCUCCUCAUUCAGUAUCAAAAUUGGAUUUCAUUAGCAUUGUGGAGAAACCAGCGUCUCCGUGAGGACCUCAAACUGUGGUAUGAACCACCCACUCCCUCUCUGAUCUACUACCAGAUACCCACUCCAGAGCGCUUCUUCUGGUGUGGAUGCCUUAUCACCUCUGGAAGAUAAGAGUCUUUUGCCUCAAAUGUGGUGGGCAUCUUACAGGUGGUGGUGUCCACAAGAGAGCACGCCAGGUGUUGGACAUUGGCAGGUACUACUUCAUGGAUCAACUAUGUGUUGUGUUAUCACUUUUUAUAGUGUUGGCUGAUUCUUGUUUUUACUCAAAAAUAAAAGAAACCGUGA